CAGGCCAAGAAAAUCACUGCCUAUUCCAACUCUUAGGGGACUAGUUCAACUAACUCAGAUAGCACUGAGAGACUCACCACACUGAAUGGAUUCCAGACAGAUAUUUGUGCCGAGUUACCAGGGCACAUCUCCCAGGAGGAGUCUUCCUCCACCCCCGUUCUUCUCAAGUGAUGAACCAGUGAUGGUCACUCCAGAGUACUGCUUGGGGAUCAGUAGAGAGCCUGCCACAGGUAGCAGCACAGGUUGUAAAAAACAAACAAACAGUUUAGGGGUCCACAGAAUGAAUGACUGAAGAGGCAUAACAGAAUAUAAUUGAAGGAACAUGAAGGACACAGGGAGACAAUCCAUGUCCACCAAUAUUGCUAUGGGAGCUUCCAAAGAAGAGUCCGCAGUAAUCGUAUGAAUCUAGGAAUCGCAUGACAUGAGAAGUAGUAAUGGCACAGACCCUAACCAUUCAUUGCUUUGGCUAACAACUGGGUAGGAAGGAAGUCUUCUGUUAGCCCCAUUCAUGUAGUUUCUUGGUUCAGACAUGAAUGAAUCUCACCAUGAGCUGCCAUCUCCUUUACGACUAACCAGACACUCUGAAUGUGCUCUGUCUUGUCUAUGCAUGCUAUGAUACCCCUAGAAAAAAUAACUAAUACAAGACAGGUGAUUCCUAAUCCUUCAAGGAAACUAUGUCAGAAAGGUCAUUUUACAAAUUAUCUUUCUAGAGGAUCUAUGCAAGUUUUAAGAGCUGUUUUUGUUUAAAUCUUACAGUUGCAUGUAGAUACUCAAAAGAAGAGUAACCCAGUGUUCUGGAACAAUAGACCCAGCACUAUCUGGGCUCAUCAACUAAUAUCAACCAAGUAAUUGUACCCAGCAUAGUUCCUCUCCACACUUCUCCAGAAUCAGGGAAUGACCAAAAUUGCUCGUCUACCUUAUUGGGCUACUGCUGCUUCCAUCAUUUGAAGGCAAAGCCAGACAGUGACGUUAGUGGGGGGCAGGGAACAACUUGUCUGGCUGAGCUAUGUGAUUAGUAUUUGCAUAUGUUUCCACUCAAGACAGAGCAAAACCAGAAUCAAAGUGUCUUUGUAACAGAUGAAUUGGUCCUGAGAACAUGCCUGAAUCUGUUGUUAAAGGCUACAUUAAAGGAAAGCUUUUUAAACUCUUAAGCAUAAGAACAUUCCACACCAACACUUAUUUCUAUACAAACACAUACAGAUUCACAUUUCAAUUCUUCUUCUCUCUUUCUGAGCUUUUCUGAGGCUGUUAAUUGGCCAUUAAUCCACUGUAUGUAUUUUCUGUUUCAUCGUAAAAUUGAGACCUGAGUUUUUCUUCUUUUUCAGUUUAUAACCUCUAGGUGGAAAUGUGGUAUAGCAGAGUAGUGUGAAUACACGAAGGAGAAUGAACUUUCUUUCACUUUUAUAAUUAAAUGCCACAUUUUACUUGCUCUAAAAAGAACUUGCCAGAAGUGCUUGUUAGACACAGAAGUAAAACUAGAGGGUCACAACAUUGUCUCACAUAAACAACUGUUAGUAGGAAAUGAUGAGAACACAAUAAAUGCAUUGUGUAGAAAAGCCCUUCAUGUCCCACUUUGAACAACCCUCAUUUGGAUGCCUUAAGAGCCUAAUACGAAUAAACCCUCUAUUCCACUCCCCCCUGCCCCCAUUCCUAAUACUGGGUUAUGGUUGCCUGUGUCACCAACACCACCAAUUUUCUAGUGUGACUAGCAGUGUGAGGAUGGGGAGGAAGGGAGAGGGAAACCAGGUUUGGGCCAGAGAUCUGACUAGGCUGUAUUACAACAUGGAUGUAAAUGCCUGAAACAGCAUGUACAUAGAAAUGUUCCUACUUCAAAUGCUUGUAAUCAUGAUCUGGAAAACUGUGCCUUCAGAUUUUGGAUUCCAGUGGGGAUGCGAAAUGGAGUGAAAAAAUAUCAGGGUGGUGGCGGGGGAAUCAUAUUAUCUUUUAAAUAUUUGUUACUUAGAGGAACUGGGAGAUGAUUGCUAUAGACAUGCUACAAACAUCAGUUUGCAAGCAUCAAAAGAAAACCACAAAGAAACCUAUCACAGAAAAUUAUGGUUUGUUUGCCUUUAACCAAUAAAUAAUAUGUCAGGGUCCACUUCAGAAUACCUAGGAAUCCAUUUAUUUUUCCACCGGAUUAAAGUGCAGGAUAAAACUGGACUAGGGCAAACAUGAGAAAUAGGUUUUAGCUUAAAUCAGGGACAAAUAGGCCACUUCCAAAUAACCCAUCAUGGUAUCUAACACUGCCAUAAUUAAUAGUGGCUUCUGGGUUUAGGCUCUUUUUUACUGGAAUAAGCAGAACAUAUGGCUUGAACGUACAUCCCUGGCCUUGCUUUGCAGUCCCUCACUAUCCCUGCAUUGCCAAAUAUGCUGCUGAAACUAGCAAAUUUGGUGGCACAUUGUGAUGGCAGCAGGAAAGGGUGUGAUUUGUGGUGGGAUGCGGGAAGGGAAUUGGGUCCAAAGCCCUGGAAGUUGCCUACCCCUAAUGCAAGGGAUGGGGACAAUCCAAAAUCAGAACGGAUUAGAACUCUUUUCACUGCAAAAUAUUGCAGAUGUGGUUUUCCCAGGUGAGGGAAAUGACCUUGACAAACCUAAUUCUGACUAGUUUACCUGAAAUUCCCUUUGAUGUUUCCUUUUGACUGAUCAGCUGGCUCUGCUUUCCAUGUGAUUGCCACUAAACAGCUCUAGUGAACUGCCAUGGGCUUCACUGUGCAGCAAACAAGGUAUAUAAUGAAGCCCUCAGGCUAUGACGAUUAUGAAUUUGUCUCCGGGGAUCAUGCUUCUGGCAUAUUUGGGACAGAAUAAUGAAGCUGAAUAACUCAGGGCUGUGCCAUAUGAUGACCUAUUUACUAUGGGGAAACAUUGAUUUCUGGGGUGGUGGGUACUGAAGCCUUGCUAAUGUGGCUUCCUGAUUGCUUUACUGAUUGCUUUACUUUGUACCAGGUUCUGCUGCAUCAGGAAGCAUGAUCCUGUAAAAUGUCUGCAUUUGG